rnacentral:rRNA from 1 species
GACGAACGCUGGCGGCGUGCUUAACACAUGCAAGUCGAACGGAAAGGCCCUGCUUGCCGGGUACUCGAGUGGCGAACGGGUGAGUAACACGUGGGUGAUCUGCCCUGCACUUCGGGAUAAGCCUGGGAAACUGGGUCUAAUACCGGAUAGGAGCCAUUUUUAGUGUGAUGGUUGGAAAGUUUUUUCGGUGUAGGAUGAGCUCGCGGCCUAUCAGCUUGUUGGUGGGGUAAUGGCCUACCAAGGCGGCGACGGGUAGCCGGCCUGAGAGGGUGGACGGCCACAUUGGGACUGAGAUACGGCCCAGACUCCUACGGGAGGCAGCAGUGGGGAAUAUUGCACAAUGGGCGCAAGCCUGAUGCAGCGACGCCGCGUGGGGGAUGACGGCCUUCGGGUUGUAAACUCCUUUCGCUAGGACGAAGCUUUUUGUGACGGUACCUAGAUAAGAAGCACCGGCUAACUACGUG